CUCGUAGGCGGCUUGGCAAGUCGAUCGUGAAAGCCCGGGGCUUAACCCCGGGACGCCGGUCGAUACUGCCAUGGCUUGGGUCCGGUAGAGGAGAAUGGAAUUCCCGGUGUAGCGGUGAAAUGCGCAGAUAUCGGGAGGAACACCAGUAGCGAAGGCGGUUCUCUGGGCCGGUACCGACGCUGAGGAGCGGAAGCGUGGGGAGCAAACAGGAUUAGAUACCCUGGUAGUCC
rnacentral:rRNA from 1 species